rnacentral:rRNA from 1 species
GAUGAACGCUGGCGGCGUGCCUAAUACAUGCAAGUCGAACGGAGAAUGUAGCAAUACGUUCUUAGUGGCGAACGGGUGAGUAACGCGUUGGUGACCUGCCCCGAAGUGUGGGAUAACAGUCCGAAAGGAUUGCUAAUACCGCAUGUGAUCACCGGGUUUAGAAACCGGUGAUUAAAGGAGUAAUUCGCUUUGGGAGGGACCUGCGUCCCAUCAGCUAGUUGGUAAGGUAACGGCCUACCAAGGCUAUGACGGGUAGGGGACCUGAGAGGGUGGACCCCCACAAUGGCACUGAAACACGGGCCAUACACCUACGGGUGGCAGCAGUAGGGAAUAUUGGUUAAUCUACGAAAGUGGGAACCAGCAACGCCGCGUGUGCGAUGAAGGCCUUCGGGUCGUAAAGCACGUUUUUACAGGGACGAGGAAGGACGGUACCGUGUAGAAUAAGCCUCGGCUAACUACGUG